CUUUGAGUGCCUUUUGAUUUAUUCUUUCCUCUGUUUUAUAUCCAGUAUAUAUUUUCAUAAGUUGGGCUGUCAUUACAGUGGAGGUGAAAUUUCUGUCCUUUUUCUAGAGACUAAUUGUAUAAGAAAAUAAAACCCCAAAAUAUUUAUAGUAUCAUUUGCAGUGUAUCUGAGUAUACCUAGAGUCUAAAAAUACUGAUUUUAAUUAGUGACCUAUUCGGGGUGAGGCGAGAGCUCCAUUUUUAGUUACAAGAUACUUACUGGUGGAGGUGGAACUCCAGGACAGUUUCAGGGCAAUAAAUAGCACGGAUUUUGGUAGCACAUUUCCCAGCCCAGCAGAGGAGUGGGGAGGGUUCGUGACUAUGCUGUUCAACCUCACAGCAUGCUUGCACUGUAACUACAACGUGACUGAGACAUCUUUAAAACGACAGUGUUCUAUAUUAAAGAUCCCAGUGAUGGCUAAGUGAUUAAAACACAGAGGAGUAGCAGCUGCUAGACUGCUAGAACUGUAAGACUGCUAGAACUGCAUGCUGUUAUGGGGAAGCAAUUAUGCACUGAAUACCUAAAGCUAUUCCAUAGCUCUGCACUGACUCCAGAAGAGCAAUAUCUGGUUCUGAGAGCAAAGAGGAUCAGACUGGGCUCUACAGGCUGUGGAAUUUUCACUAGGGCCUGAAGGAAGCUAUCAAAUGGAUUCCAAGAAUGUGGUCAUCCUGACCCAGCUCAUUCAGAAUCAUUUGUCUCAUAAUAAAAAUUAUGGACAGAAUACACCAGGUGUACAGAAGAAGAUAAAUAGUUCAGAAGUCUAUGUGGAAGCACUCUCAUUCUUGCUCAUCUGACACUGCAUAUUACCACUGUGCUCAUCAUUUUCCAAGGAGAAUUGUCCCUCUGAUAAGUGCCAAGAUUAUAAAGCAAUACAAGAACAACAGAAACGCCUGUGUUGGGUUUGUUUGUU
rnacentral:lncRNA from 1 species